GGAUGAGGAUGCCAGGCACUCUGCUUUUCCUAAACAACUUCCAAGAACCCCGGAACAUUUCUUAAAGUGUCUGGAACGAAGCUUUAACCUCGCCUGCUCCAUCAGCCUGGGACGGAAAAGACGCGAGGGGCGAAGAAGAGGUGGGGCACGGGGAGCCCGGGCCGUUCGGCGUAAGUGAUCCAGGCUUCCAGCGCCCCGGGCGCACCCCGCGGAAAGGCGUCUGGGAGUCGGGGACGUGCGGGGGGAGACCACCCGGCCAACCCCGGGGGAUGAGCUGCAAGGCUGGCCACGCCCGGCAGGAGACUGCGCGCAGAGACCCGCCCGGGGAAGCACGGGAGGAGGGAGGGCGGCCAUGUACAACCCCUGGCAGGUGGGAGCCUCCCUGGCGCCAGCUCGGGCAGGGCCACGCCCCUUCCCAACUCCCCGCGCUCGGCCUCCGGACUGCUCAGGGGGCCACGCCCCUUCCGGAUUCCCCGCGCUAGGCCUCCGGACCGCUCAGCGGCCCCGCCCCUUCUCGAGUUCUCCGCGCUCGGCCUCCGGACGGCUCAGGGGGCCACGCCCCGUCGCCCGGGGCCCCGCCCACUCCUCAAGCCCCACGGGACUCCCAGCCUACCUCCCUCCCGCUGCCGCACUGGACUCCCAGACCUCGGCACCAACCGUAUCUCCUGUUACUCGCCCCAGGGUGGUUGCCCGGGGAAAAACUCCAAGGGUUUCACUGGCUGGCCUGGAAACCCUUUCAUCUUUGCUCCAUCAGCAGCAGCUCUUUGAUUGAGUUCUCCUGGCUUUAGAGCCUCCCACUAUGGUCAUGCUGCAAAUUCCCGUGGCCAGCACCCGAGGCCUGCUGGCUCCGAUCUGGGCCACGUGUACAACCAGGUGUGCCCCCUUAGCCUCACGCCCUCCUCCUGUUGCCUCCCCAUCCCUCUAGCCUUCGGGACUUGGGGUUGCAAUGAAUCUUAGGUUUUUUCCAGGAGUCUUUUAUUCCUCCAGCGUCUCCGUGCGCCUGUCCGCUCCAACACCUGACAUUUUCCUUCAACUCCACCCUCCCCUCCCCGAGUCCACAGACACACACCCACCCACACGCCUCUUCCCUUCCCCUCCACCCUCAGUCAGCGGCAGAGUCAGUCCAUCCAAUAGGCAGGAGCCCAAAAGACUGUCCACGGACAGCUGUCCUCUCGCCCAGGAGAGUGGGGCUGCACACAGCAGCAGGCCCAGGAGGAAAUCGUGCUUUGAUAGCCCCAGGCAUCGUAUUUCAUCGUAUUUCACAAGUGAGCCAAAUGGAGAAGGGAUUAGCUGUUUCACCCAAUAAGCCCACAUCUGUAGUUACAUUCUGACUGGGAUAAAAUUACCCUGGUUAUUAAUCCUUCUGCUUUAGGGCAUAAGCUGAUCACCAGCUGGGGUCAGGAAAAAACUCCACCCCAGCUCCUUCCAACUUGCUCCCCCAUCCUCAGCUGCUCCAUUUCCUGUGGUCUAUUCUUGCACAGUUAGGUCUACAAGCCAGGUUCAAGGCCACCAACUGAGGCACCUGUCCCGAGACAGGACCAUUCUAAUCUGCCCUGAAAAGGACAUCCCAUUGAUCAUGUAAGUAUGUACUGAGAAUCUACUGUGGGCAAGACAUUGGUCUUCGCUGUGGGAGAUACAAAAACCAUUCAGGCAUGGCCCUUGCCUUUUUCAUGCCAAGAAAAGCUGAAGUGUGUGGUCAGAAAUUGCAUGUGGUUUCUGGGACUUACUGCCCUGAAGCACCCUGGGUGUAUCGGAUGGCCUCAGGGAACACAGUUUGGGUAUGGGCAGUAUUUUCAUGCCCAUUGCCAUUCCCUUCUGCCUCAAGUGUAUGUGGGCUUUCCCUGCAGUCAGCCAGCAGGCCAGGCCAGGGUGGCUUUGUUUCUGUCUCUGACCCUUUCUCUUCAGACUCCAAAUCUGCAGGUGCUGGAGACUUUGAAGGAGUCUCCGUUUCCCUUGGUAGAAACAAGAGGUAGGAACAAGCAGGUGGAAAGCCAGGGUUACUCCUUCCAGCCAAUGGGUCUGGGGCUGCAGCACACAAAGUUGACAUCCCGAAAGGCCAUUUUCCUCGAUCGCUUCAGACCUGGCAUUGGGUGGACAGACCACAUGAUUCAGCAUCCAAAUUGGAGAUCUCUCAAUAACAGAAAGAGGUGCCAUUGAUAAUUUCGUGGAACUUUCCUGAGCACACCAGGGUGUGCUCAUUCUUCCUGAGGGGUCAUCUCCCUUGGGCAUCGUAAGAGGCACCACUGAGACACAACAGCUUUUGUCACCAUUUCCCAAUUGUGUCCCAAGCUCUCUGUCCUCUUCCCUGUGCUGGUCAUCUCACAGUCUUCUUCUGCAGGUAGAUCCCCCCUACUUCAGCCCUUCCUCCCACCUCAGCUCCUUUGUUCCCGCUGCCAUGCCCAGAACAACCUAUAUUUCCACUCUCCAACCUUGGAUCAACCCAACUGUGUUUUCACGCUACUAUGUCCAGGAUACUGGAUGAUACUAGAGAUAGCCAUCAGUAACAUUCAUUACAUGAAUAAGUCUGGGUUGAUCCUGUGACACAGUUAUGCCUUCUACCCUCUGCUGCUUCUCAACAUUGCUCAGUCCUUAUGUUGGUGUUCUCAUUUCACAUGAUAGAGUUCCAAACCUUUUGUAGCCCGAAUCGUCAUCUAUCCCCUAAUUCUUGGAAAAGACCCUAACUUCACCAAUAGCAACAACAAUCAAAACCAACUGAAC
ensembl:lncRNA novel transcript